UGAGGAAUAUUGGACAAUGGGCGCAAGCCUGAUCCAGCCAUGCCGCGUGCAGGAUGACGGUCCUAUGGAUUGUAAACUGCUUUUGUACAGGAAGAAACAGUUCUACGUGUAGAACCUUGACGGUACUGUAAGAAUAAGGAUCGGCUAACUCCGUGCCAGCAGCCGCGGUAAUACGGAGGAUCCAAGCGUUAUCCGGAAUCAUUGGGUUUAAAGGGUCCGUAGGCGGUUAGAUAAGUCAGUGGUGAAAGCCCAUCGCUCAACGGUGGAACGGCCAUUGAUACUGUCUGACUUGAAUUAUUAGGAAGUAACUAGAAUAUGUAGUGUAGCGGUGAAAUGCUUAGAGAUUACAUGGAAUACCAAUUGCGAAGGCAGGUUACUACUAAUGGAUUGACGCUGAUGGACGAAAGCGUGGUAGCGAACAGGAUUAGAUACCCCAGUAGUCCCUGAGCGGGCUGGCAAGGCGCAU
rnacentral:rRNA from 1 species